AGUGAACGCUGGCGGUAGGCCUAACACAUGCAAGUCGAACGGCAGCACAGUAAGAGCUUGCUCUUACGGGUGGCGAGUGGCGGACGGGUGAGGAAUACAUCGGAAUCUACUUUUUCGUGGGGGAUAACGUAGGGAAACUUCCGCUAAUACCGCAUACGACCUCCGGGUGAAAGCAGGGGAUCUUCGGACCUUGCGCGAUUGAAUGAGCCGAUGUCGGAUUAGCUAGGUGGCGGGGGAAAGGCCCACCAAGGCGACGAUCCGUAGCUGGUCUGAGAGGAUGAUCAGCCACACUGGAACUGAGACACGGUCCAGACUCCUGCGGGAGGCAGCAGUGGGGAAUAUUGGACAAUGGGCGCAAGCCUGAUCCAGCCAUACCGCGUGGGGGAAGAAGGCCUUCGGGUUGUAAAGCCCUUUUGUUGGGAAAGAAAAGCAGCAGGUUAAUACCCCGCGGUUCUGACGGUACCCAAAGAAUAAGCACCGGCUAACUUCGUG
rnacentral:rRNA from 1 species